CGUAAGACUUGACAGCUACGAAUGCAUCUUAUUUUAUAUGUUUUAACAAUAAGAAUAAACCUUAAAGGGGAACUGAAGUGAAAAAUGAAAAUCAAUUAUUUAGUAGUUUUCAUCGUGCUGAUUUCGAAUAUCGACACGAAAUUAGUGUUUUUCUUUUCGUUUUCCUGCAUUCACCACGCGAAGUGUGAAAUUUCUCCAUUUCGGUGGCGGAGAGGUCUGGAGACAAGUUUCAGGCGCUGACGUAAAGUCGUGGACACGUGCCCCGAUCGCAACGAAAACAACAUUGUAGUAGGUAGUAGAGUGAAUCGGAGGGAGGGAAUUCGGUUAGUGGUUAGAAUUUCAGUUCGCAAUUUUCACGACAGCUCUUCAGGAAUGACAACAGACUUUGGAUUUGGACGAUGAAUUUGGAGCAUGUGGUGGUGAAGUACUUGCCCUACCAAGGGCGAACGGGAACUGCGAAAGUGGCGAUGAAGAUUAGCCUAGGCCCGAUGAGAUCCCAGAGGCUGAGGAUGAAUUAAGCUCCCGCGACGUGCUCGUUUUGUCGGUAGAAAUGAGGAAGUAAAUCAAUGGUAUCUACAAACAGUGGCCGAUCAAUGGAUGGUUUGCUGGUUUUUGGAUAUUUGUGCUGGAAAAACUGGACAACUUUAAGUAUGAAUUUAUCACAAAAUGUAAAGAAAAGAACUUUAGUCAAAGAAGACAAGGGUUUCAAAAUUCUGCAGAGAGACAAUGAAAAUGCAAAACUCAGCUACCUACUACAUAUACAGUGGAGUACAGGGUUAUAUACAGGGGUUAUUCAAAGGGACCAGACUUUCAGUUCAUAAUAGCAAGAAGAGAAAUUUAGAACUAGUGGGGUCAUGUUAUAAGUUAGAAAUUUGUUAAAACUAGUGGGGCAAUGGCCAAAUCUUGUCAGCCCUAGGCCAAAUCACUAGAUUAGUCACAUCAAGGGGGGAAGGGGUUGGGGAUUGAGCAAGGCUUGAUAUUUUCAAGAUUCCUAAGGUAUAUUUUUCAAGAUAUUUUACUCACAUCAAAAUGUGUAGAAUAGUUUGGAUUUGAUAAAGUUUUUCUCUUACAAUAAUGGUCCUGUACCACCUGCUUGGUAACAUUUUUUAUACAUAAUCAGAAGAAAAUGUUUUACCUUCA